AACGCACCUUGCGCUCUUUGGUAUUCCGAAGAGCAUGCCUGUUUGAGUGUCAUGAAAAUAUCAACCUUGACUUGGGUUUUGUGCUCUUGUCUUGGCUUGGAUUUGGCUGUUUGCCUCUCGAAAGAGUCGGCUCAGCUUAAAAGUAUUAGCUGGAUCUGUCUUUGAGACUUGGUUUGACUUGGCGUAAUAAGUUAUUUCGCUGAGGACAAUCUUCGGAUUGGCCGAGUUUCUAGGACGCUUGUCCGCUUUCCAAUACAAGUUCUAGCUUGCUAGACAUGACUUUUUUAUUUAUCUGGCCUCAAAUCAGGUAGGACUACCCGCUGAACUUAA
rnacentral:rRNA from 1 species